rnacentral:tRNA from 1 species
GGAAACGUGGCCGAGAGGCUGAAGGCACUUCCCUGCUAAGGAAGCAUGUGGCUUAAACCUGCAUCGAGGGUUCGAAUCCCUCCGUUUCCG